AUUGAACGCUGGCGGAAUGCUUUACACAUGCAAGUCGAACGGCAGCACGGACUUCGGUCUGGUGGCGAGUGGCGAACGGGUGAGUAAUAUAUCGGAACGUGCCCAGUCGUGGGGGAUAACGUAGUGAAAAUUACGCUAAUACCGCAUACGAUCUACGGAUGAAAGCGGGGGAUCGAAAGACCUCGCGCGAUUGGAGCGGCCGAUAUCAGAUUAGGUAGUUGGUGAGGUAAAGGCUCACCAAGCCGACGAUCUGUAGCUGGUCUGAGAGGACGACCAGCCACACUGGAACUGAGACACGGUCCAGACUCCUACGGGAGGCAGCAGUGGGGAAUUUUGGACAAUGGACGCAAGUCUGAUCCAGCCAUUCCGCGUGCAGGACGAAGGCCUUCGGGUUGUAAACUGCUUUUGUACAGAACGAAAAGGUCUCUAUUAAUACUAGGGGCUCAUGACGGUACUGUAAGAAUAAGCACCGGCUAACUACGUG
rnacentral:rRNA from 1 species